GCCCAGGUGGCGGAAUUGGUAGACGCGCACGGUUCAGGUCCGUGUGAGUAACAUCAUGGAGGUUCGAGUCCUCUCCUGGGCACCA
rnacentral:tRNA from 1 species